rnacentral:rRNA from 1 species
CCGGCGCACGGGUGAGUAACACGUAUCCAACCUGCCGUCUACUCUUGGACAGCCUUCUGAAAGGAAGAUUAAUACAAGAUGGCAUCAAGAGUCCGCAUGUUCACAUGAUUAAAGGUAUUCCGGUAGACGAUGGGGAUGCGUUCCAUUAGAUAGUAGGCGGGGUAACGGCCCACCUAGUCUUCGAUGGAUAGGGGUUCUGAGAGGAAGGUCCCCCACAUUGGAACUGAGACACGGUCCAA